GGAUCAGUACGCCAGUCGUACUUCGGUAUGUACUGGUAUCACUGAUUCCUCCCUUCUGAUGAACCGUUAUGCCAUUUAGUUGGUGUGGCGGGGAAUCAGGACUGUUACUUUGAAAAAUUAGAGUGUUUAAAGCAAGCUCGCGCUUGAAUACAUUAGCAUGGAAUAAUAAAAUAGGACGUUUGAUCUCCUAUUUUGUUGGUUUCUAGGAUCGACGUAAUGA
rnacentral:rRNA from 1 species